AUUUGUAUGAGAGGCCAGAGGUGGUGCCUUGGUGAGGAUUAAUUGAAUUUUGAUAGAAAUUGUUCUUUCAUCUCGGGUACUAGGAAGUGCAUGCAUGAUGGGUGACUGUGUUCUCCAGCUCGGCUCUAGCACCGGCACCUGCCAAUCCACCGCCUGUUUGGUCACGAGAGGCACGUCCACUCUGUCCUUGGUGGCGGCAAGCAUAAGCCCCCUCCCCCAGAUUUGUAUACCCGAUCCGCUCCUUUUUUUAUCUAGAUCCGAUCUAGCUAUAUUUGUGCUUGAUCGUGCUACCUUGUCUUGCUGCAGAAUAGUUUGUUACCUUGUUAAUAACUUGCUUCAUGGUUUGAAACUGAAAAGUGGAAAGGCACCGACGACCAGCAGACAGUUGCGGCACACCGACUGGAUCAGGAGCAUGAUAGUCCUUUUGAUCCGAUUCGUGGAGGGCUCGGCGCCUCGGUCGGAUCUGACCCAGGGGGCGCCGCCGGUCCGUCCGGUUGCAGCCGCGUCUGAGUUUUUAAGAUUUGGAAUUUACCAUAUUAAAGGAGGCCGAGGAUGAUUGACUGAAGUCUGAAUCUGGAUGAUCUAUAUAUUAAAUCAUACUCACGCUGAAUUACUGCACGAAAAGAACUUGGGAAGCUUAAGGAGGAUUUAUAUUUUGUAUAGUUUUUCUUUACUUUAUGAAUAUUGAUAUGUAUUGUACACCAAUUAUAUGUAUAGAUGUUGAAUUUCCCACCAGUCUUGAUCCAAACAAUCGAGAGCUAGGGAUCGUUCUGAGAUAAAAGCUUUGCACAAGGAGGUGAAGAAACUCUGCUUCAAAUGUUUCACCUUACAUAUUAGAUUUUUACCAAUUUACUACUCUUUGGUUAUAAGUUAUACAUUGCUCAUUUGACUGUAAUAAUGACAAAACAUGGGCUUUUGAGAUGGCA